rnacentral:rRNA from 1 species
CACGUAGGGCGCGAGCGUUGUCCGGAAUUAUUGGGCGUAAAGAGCUCGUAGGCGGCCUGUUGCGUCCGCUGUGAAAACUCGGGGCUUAACCCCGAGCCUGCAGUGGAUACGGGCAGACUAGAGGUAGGUAGGGGAGAAUGGAAUUCCCGGUGUAGCGGUGAAAUGCGCAGAUAUCGGGAGGAACACCGGUGGCGAAGGCGGUUCUCUGGGCCUUACCUGACGCUGAGGAGCGAAAGCGUGGGGAGCGAACAGG